GCAGUAGCCGCGGGAAUACGAAGGGUGCAAGCGUUACUCGGAAUCACUGGGCGUAAAGCGUGCGUAGGUGGUGGUUUAAGUCCGUUGUGAAAGCCCUGGGCUCAACCUGGGAAUUGCAGUGGAUACUGGGUCACUAGAGUGUGGUAGAGGAUAGUGGAAUUUCCGGUGUAGCAGUGAAAUGCGUAGAGAUCGGAAGGAACAUCUGUGGCGAAGGCGACUAUCUGGGCCAACACUGACACUGAGGCACGAAAGCGUGGGGAGCAAACAGGAUUAGAUACCCCAGUAGUCCCUGUCUCUUAUAA
rnacentral:rRNA from 1 species